AUUAGUCAAACUCUGAGACAGAAAGAAUGGAGGUUGCCAGGGGCUAAGGAAAGAAAAGGGGGAAUUGUUGUUUAAUGGUGUAAAGUUUUAGUUCUGCAAGAUAAAAAAUGUUCCUGAGACUAGUUGCACAAAAAUGUGGAUGCACUUAACACUAUUGAACAGUACAUUUAAAAGAUGGUAAAUUUUAUGUUAUGUCAGGUGUGCCAGAAGAUGCAGAAAGCGAGAAAGGAAUAGAGAUCAUAUUUGAAGAAAUAAUGGUAGGAAACUUCCCUAACCUGGUAAA